rnacentral:rRNA from 1 species
UUAAGUUAGAAAGGGCGCACGGUGGAUGCCUUGGCACUAGGAGCCGAUGAAGGACGGGACGAACACCGAUAUGCUUCGGGGAGCUGUAAGCAAGCUUUGAUCCGGAGAUUUCCGAAUGGGGAAACCCACCACUCGUAAUGGAGUGGUAUCCAUAUCUGAAUACAUAGGAUAUGAGAAGGCAGACCCGGGGAACUGAAACAUCUAAGUACCCGGAGGAAGAGAAAGCAAAUGCGAUUCCCUGAGUAGCGGCGAGCGAAACGGGACCAGCCCAAACCAAGAGGCUUGCCUCUUGGGGUUGUAGGACACUCUGUACGGAGUUACAAAGGAACGAGGUAGAUGAAGAGGUCUGGAAAGGCCCGCCAUAGGAGGUAACAGCCCUGUAGUCAAAACUUCGUUCUCUCCUGAGUGGAUCCUGAGUACGGCGGAACACGUGAAAUUCCGUCGGAAUCCGGGAGGACCAUCUCCCAAGGCUAAAUACUCCCUAGUGACCGAUAGUGAACCAGUACCGUGAGGGAAAGGUGAAAAGCACCCCGGAAGGGGAGUGAAAGAGAUCCUGAAACCGUGUGCCUACAAGUAGUCAGAGCCCGUUAAUGGGUGAUGGCGUGCCUUUUGUAGAAUGAACCGGCGAGUUACGAUCCCGUGCAAGGUUAAGCAGAAGAUGCGGAGCCGCAGCGAAAGCGAGUCUGAAUAGGGCGAAUUGAGUACGUGGUCGUAGACCCGAAACCAGGUGAUCUACCCAUGUCCAGGGUGAAGUUCAGGUAACACUGAAUGGAGGCCCGAACCCACGCACGUUGAAAAGUGCGGGGAUGAGGUGUGGGUAGGGGUGAAAUGCCAAUCGAACCUGGAGAUAGCUGGUUCUCUCCGAAAUAGCUUUAGGGCUAGCCUCAAGGUAAGAGUCUCGGAGGUAGAGCACUGAUUGGACUAGGGGCCCCUACCGGGUUACCGAAUUCAGUCAAACUCCGAAUGCCGAUGACUUAUCCUUGGGAGUCAGACUGCGAGUGAUAAGAUCCGUAGUCGAAAGGGAAACAGCCCAGACCGCCAGCUAAGGUCCCAAAGUAUACGUUAAGUGGAAAAGGAUGUGGAGUUGCUUAGACAACCAGGAUGUUGGCUUAGAAGCAGCCACCAUUUAAAGAGUGCGUAAUAGCUCACUGGUCGAGUGACUCUGCGCCGAAAAUGUACCGGGGCUAAACGUAUCACCGAAGCUGCGGACUGUUCUUCGAACAGUGGUAGGAGAGCGUUCUAAGGGCUGUGAAGCAAGACCGGAAGGACUUGUGGAGCGCUUAGAAGUGAGAAUGCCGGUAUGAGUAGCGAAAGAGGGGUGAGAAUCCCCUCCACCGAAUGCCUAAGGUUUCCUGAGGAAGGCUCGUCCGCUCAGGGUUAGUCGGGACCUAAGCCGAGGCCGAAAGGCGUAGGCGAUGGAUAACAGGUUGAUAUUCCUGUACCACCUCCUCACCAUUUGAGCAAUGGGGGGACGCAGGAGGAUAGGGUAAGCGCGGUAUUGGAUAUCCGCGUCCAAGCAGUUAGGCUGGGAAAUAGGCAAAUCCGUUUCCCGUGAAGGCUGAGCUGUGAUGGCGAGCGAAUUAUAGUAGCGAAGUUCCUGAUUCCACACUGCCAAGAAAAGCCUCUAGCGAGGUGAGAGGUGCCCGUACCGCAAACCGACACAGGUAGGCGAGGAGAGAAUCCUAAGGUGAUCGAGAGAACUCUCGUUAAGGAACUCGGCAAAAUGACCCCGUAACUUCGGGAGAAGGGGUGCUCUGUUAGGGUGCAAGCCCGAGAGAGCCGCAGUGAAUAGGCCCAGGCGACUGUUUAGCAAAAACACAGGUCUCUGCGAAGCCGUAAGGCGAAGUAUAGGGGCUGACGCCUGCCCGGUGCUGGAAGGUUAAGAGGAGCGCUUAGCGUAAGCGAAGGUGCGAAUUGAAGCCCCAGUAAACGGCGGCCGUAACUAUAACGGUCCUAAGGUAGCGAAAUUCCUUGUCGGGUAAGUUCCGACCCGCACGAAAGGCGCAACGAUCUGGGCACUGUCUCAACGAGAGACUCGGUGAAAUUAUAGUACCUGUGAAGAUGCAGGUUACCCGCGACAGGACGAAAAGACCCCGUGGAGCUUUACUGCAGCCUGAUAUUGAAUGUUGGUACAGCUUGUACAGGAUAGGUAGGAGCCUUGGAAACCGGAGCGCCAGCUUCGGUGGAGGCAUCGGUGGGAUACUACCCUGGCUGUAUUGACCUUCUAACCCGCCGCCCUUAUCGGGCGGGGAGACAGUGUCAGGUGGGCAGUUUGACUGGGGCGGUCGCCUCCUAAAAGGUAACGGAGGCGCCCAAAGGUUCCCUCAGAAUGGUUGGAAAUCAUUCGCAGAGUGUAAAGGCACAAGGGAGCUUGACUGCGAGACCUACAAGUCGAGCAGGGACGAAAGUCGGGCUUAGUGAUCCGGUGGUUCCGCAUGGAAGGGCCAUCGCUCAACGGAUAAAAGCUACCCCGGGGAUAACAGGCUUAUCUCCCCCAAGAGUCCACAUCGACGGGGAGGUUUGGCACCUCGAUGUCGGCUCAUCGCAUCCUGGGGCUGUAGUCGGUCCCAAGGGUUGGGCUGUUCGCCCAUUAAAGCGGUACGCGAGCUGGGUUCAGAACGUCGUGAGACAGUUCGGUCCCUAUCCGUCGCGGGCGCAGGAAAUUUGAGAGGAGCUGUCCUUAGUACGAGAGGACCGGGAUGGACGCACCGCUGGUGUACCAGUUGUUCUGCCAAGGGCAUCGCUGGGUAGCUAUGUGCGGACGGGAUAAGUGCUGAAAGCAUCUAAGCAUGAAGCCCCCCUCAAGAUGAGAUUUCCCAUUCCGCAAGGAAGUAAGAUCCCUGAAAGAUGAUCAGGUUGAUAGGUCUGAGGUGGAAGUGUGGCGACACAUGGAGCUGACAGAUACUAAUCGAUCGAGGACUUAACC